rnacentral:rRNA from 1 species
UACGUAGGGUGCGAGCGUUAAUCGGAAUUACUGGGCGUAAAGCGUGCGUAGGCGGUCCGCGAAGUCUGAUGUGAAAGCCCCGGGCUCAACCUGGGAACUGCAUUGGAAACUAACGGGCUCGAGUGUGGCAGAGGGGGGUGGAAUUCCACGUGUAGCAGUGAAAUGCGUAGAGAUGUGGAGGAACACCGGUGGCGAAGGCAGCCCCCUGGGCUAACACUGACGCUCAGGCGCGAAAGCGUGGGGAGCAAACAGG